GUACAGAGCCCCUCCUAUCACCUAUUCUGUAUAUACAUUGAUCUGGAGCAUGCAAUGAAUUACUGCAGGAUUUAAUAUCGUGCCCUAGCUUAAUCUAAAAGACAUUUUUUUGCCAUGUUUUAGCUCCACAAAGGAAGAAUCCAUAUAUAGUUCUAUUUUUUUUUUUUAAAUGUGGAAAAAUGUAAAUAAAAUAAAGAAAUUCUUUGAAAU